rnacentral:lncRNA from 1 species
UAGUGAUCCACAACAAUAUCAUAGAUGGAGGGAGGUGUGGUAUAAUAAUUUUGGUAAUUGGAAGACCAUAGAUUACUCAUUGAUAUUUAUUGAAAAUAGUAUACCCUCCACAUCCAUUCAGCAUUCAUUAUUGAUUAUUUCUCAAUCUUUUCAACUCAAUCUUAUGUUUACCCAGUAAAUCUUGAACAUGGUUAUCCUUGAAAGAACAGUUAGUGUCAUAACGAGGAGGCAAUGGUGAUUUGUGGGAGAAAUACUUGGACUUAAAAGUAUCCAAUCAAGUUACCUCUUCUUUUCCUUCUCUUUAAUUCUUUUUGUUGACAUUUUAACCACUGGAAAUCUAAUUUAGUCGUUCUUCUCGCAGGUUGAACGUUGUAGCUUGCACCUAAUUGUUUUAAAAAGCUAUUGGAGGUAUCUUAUAAAUUAACCACUUUGUUUAACACUUACAUGUCUUUAUUUUUAGUUUUUAUUCCCAUAAGUGAAUGCAUCUUUGCUCAAAAGUGAAAUUUCUUCAUUAGCUUUUCGAAAUAAUAUUCAUAUAUGCGAAGUCAUUCAACCUUUUUUUUUUUGUUUGGUUAUGUCUUUAAAGAUCAUUCUGUAUACAAUUCAGUUUGUGUUAUGUAUAUUUAUUACUUGUGUUGUUUCAGGUAACUAUAAGACUAUCAUCAAUAGAGUUAUUGUUAAGAUUAUACACCUGAGACACAAAUUGAUGGAGAAGGAAAUGGAGAUGCACGAAUAGAAGAACAAGAGGAAAGAUGACCAGGGAUAUGUCUUUGUCGCUCUUCCGUACUCUUAUAGGAUAGAAUUAACAUUUAUUAUUUUGGUUUAUGUUAAAAUAUUUUGAACACUUCAUUGUAAUCUGUAAUGAGAAGUUGAGAUAAUAAAUAAACAUC